GAUGAAGAACGUAGUGAAAUGCGAUAAGUAAUGUGAAUUGCAGAAUUCAGUGAAUCAUCGAAUCUUUGAACGCACAUUGCGCCCGCCAGUAUUCUGGCGGGCAUGCCUGUUCGAGCGUCAUUUCAACCAUCAAGCCCCCGGCUUGUGUUGGGGACCUGCGGCUGCCCGCAGGCCCUGAAAACCAGUGGCGGGCUCGCUGUCACUCCGAGCGUAGUAGCAUAUAUCUCGCUCAGGGCGUGCUGCGGGUUCCGGCCGUUAAAAGCCUUUUUUUACCCAAGGUUGACCUCGGAUCAGGUAGGAAGACCCGCUGAACUUAAGCAUAUCAAUAAGCGGAGGA
rnacentral:misc_RNA from 1 species